GACGAACCACACGAACGUUAUUCGGAAUUACUGGGCUUAAAGGGUGCGUAGGCGGCGCAGAAAGUUGGGUGUGAAAUCCCUCGGCUCAACCGAGGAACUGCGCCCAAAACUACUGUGCUUGAGGAAGAUAGAGGUAAGCGGAACUUACGGUGGAGCGGUGAAAUGCGUUGAUAUCGUAAGGAACACCUGUGGCGAAAGCGGCUACUGGGUCUUUUCUGACGCUGAUGCACGAAAGCCAGGGGAGCAAA
rnacentral:rRNA from 1 species